GUGGGUGUAGCUCAGCUGGUGGUAGCACCUGGUUGUGACCCAGGAGGUCGUGGGUUCAAGUCCCAUCACUCACCCCA
rnacentral:tRNA from 2 species